GGGAUUGUAGCUCAGUGGUAGAGUGCUUGUCUUGCACAUGUGAGGCCCUGGGUUCAAUCCUCAGCACCA
rnacentral:tRNA from 1 species